GAGUGUGCUUCAUGUAGGCUUAAGUUGUAAUCACCAGGGGAGGAAGUGAGGUAUGUCUUCAAACCCAAGUUCCGUUCUAAGCCCAUCUCUGUCAUGAACAGGGAAGAAGGUCAUUGGAGGUGGAACAUGCACAGGGUGCCAGGGACCUCACCAGUGUCAGUGCUUGGCCCAAUUCAUGAUUUUGGGUUUGAAGACUGCUCUCAGGAAGGAUUUCAUGACCAGAGUGUCCUGGAGAUGGUGGCACGGACUUUGGUCUUUGAAGUAUUUCUCUUGAGGACCAUGACUUACUUCCCUGCUCUCUUCCAUUCUGUUGUCUUUUGGAGCUCAUUUGUUGGCUGUUCACAAGGUCUUACAGAGUAACUAUUUACCAAUGGCUCAAAUCCCCUGAGAAAUUAUGCUCACCUCCUCCCAAUCUUUUUGGAAUCUGCUUCUUUGGAGGAGCCAUGCUGGCAUUUUCCAAAGGUUCCCUGCUGGCUUGUCUCUUUUUCAUAAUCUUAUAAUCUUUUAACCCCUUUUAUGUUUUUGUGGUGACAUUUUUUUGAGCUUUUGCUAAAUCCAUUGUUGAGCCCCUGAUAUCGUGGGUUUAUGGAGCAUGUCAAAAGAGAAAUAUGAUCACGAUGGGCUCCCCUCCCACUUCAAAAAACCCUUGCCCAGGUCUGUGAGUCUGGGUGGGGCAGCCAGUACCAACCCAAUCUUACCCUCUCCCAUCUGUGGCUUUAGAUAUGAGAGGAGUUCUGAGGUUAUGGUGACACAUUAGUGUUUUGGAUCCAGUGGAGUCAAACAAGUCAGAACUGGUGAAGGCACUUCCUUUAGAAGACCCAUUUUUUUUAAUGGCUUUUCAUAUUUCUCCAUGAGUAACAGGCUUCAUUAAUUUUGGCUUACUGAUGUUUCCAUUCCUUUCUUUUCAAUAUCUCAUUAAGAAGUAUCACUAAGUAGUUGCCAUCCAAGGUCCAAGGAGUGGCCAGUGAGACGUGAACCUCCCCUAGAGAGGGUUUGUACCUGAUCAGUGACUGCCUGGCCAACAGCCAGCUCCUUCUCUCAUUGGAUCUCAGUGAGACCACUGCAGCCACCCGUUCCCUCCCUCUGUGACUCAUCCCCAGUCAUCUCCCUGGAUCUGCUUGCUCUCUGAGUCCAUGCUGCAGAGGGAACCAUCCUCACAUUGUCCCUUGUCUUCUUUCAGCUUGGCCUGUCUCUCACUCCAUCCUACCUGUUCAUUAUUCCCUAUGGAGUCAGAAAAUGUCCCCUGUGAUAGAGGUAAAAAGAAAAUUGGGCUCAGAAAGAGUGGUCUUCAUAAGAUCAAAUGGAGCUUGCAGUUGGUAAGACCUCCAAUCCAGGGUUUAUAAUUCUGGGCUGCCUCCCAGGGAUUCUUGAUAUUCAAAAGUCCCCAAAGAGAUAAGAUUGACAGGGGGCCUAAGAAGGGUUGUCUGACACUGCCACCUUCUAAGCCCUACCCAGUGCACCUAGCCUGAGGUUUCCAUGGUGACAGUAAAUAAACUUUACCCAUUGCUUUUUCCAUUA